AGCGUCUCUAUUGUAACCAAGGCAGUCGAGCUGUACUUUUAACUGUUUACUUUUGUUAAUAGAUCAUUUUUUGAAAAUUUUUGAAAAUAAUUAAAUUUAGUAUUGGCCAUUCACAAGGAUAAAUUGGUGAGAAAAGCCCAUCAAGUGUCUCGAUAAUUAAUAAAUAGAAGUUGGAUUUGCUAAUGAAUUUGUUAAUUUUGAGCUAUUUCUAGAGAGAGUAUCAUCAUCUGGCAGUUGACUGUAAUCAGAUUGUAUUGCUUUAAAUUUAAUCUAAUCAAUAUUUACCUUUUCAUGAAUUAUACCAAUAAUAAAGGGUUGUUUUCCUUAGUAAUUAUUAGCUGAAAAGUGUUUAAUUGAAUCUUUUUAACUAUGGAUAAUGUCAAAACCUCGUCGAUUGUUGAAAAUUUAACUAAAGAUUUGGAUGAACUGAAGAAGAAGCUUAAAAACGCUGAAACUAAAAUCGCCAAACUAAAAACAAUUAAUAGAAUUGUAGUUCAGAUCGAAAAGCUUGAGAAGCUAUCGACUAUCACUCAUUUCGUUGAAGGUUCUGGUUUAACUGACUUAGAAGAUUUAUCGUUUAUAACGGAUAAUGUUUUCAAAGCCUUUUCUAAGCAUAAUCAUAACCGUUAUGUUAUUAAGAAAAUCCAAAUAACAUCAGAUAAAAGUUUCAAAGAGGCCAGUCGACUUGUCGAACUUGACAAUUUGUAUGUGGUUAGUUAUUACGGUGUAUGGAUUGAAAAAGAGCAGAGUGAAAAUUCAAUUGAAUCAAAUGAAGGUCUGGAUACAUCAUCUGAUACGAACUUCGGAACUCAGACUCUUUACAUUCAAAUGGAAUGUUACAAAGAUGAAAAUCUUCAGGAUUUAAUCGUAAAUGGUGAACUAGAUGAUUAUCCUCGUCGUCGACACUUGUUUAUCCAAAUAGUUUUGGGUUUGAUUUACAUCCAUGAGCAAAAGAUCGUUCAUAUGAAUCUCAAUUUUGAUAAUAUUUUCUUGGAUGGAGAGGAUCGUAUAAAGAUUGGUGGACUUUGUCUUGGAAAGUCGAUACUUAUUCCCGAUAAAUCGGCCCCAAUAAAAGCUAGGUUCGGCCUUCUUCAGAAGAACGAUAUUUAUCAACUUGGACUGAUUUACUUUGUCAUGUGCUACAAGCCCGUUCAAACUCAUAAGAAGUUAUCAAAGUUUUAUAAAAAAUACACUAAAUUUUUUUUUGAAUUACCCGAUGAUGCUAAGAACCAUUUGAAACGAAAUGAGAUAACUUUUGUCGAGCAAUUGAUAAAUCAAAAUGUAAAAAAGCGUCCGUAUGUCAAAAAAGUUGUUGAUCUCGCUCUAACUUAUCUUACCAUUUAAUUAUCAGAUUGGAAAUUCAAAUGAUCAGAGACAUUGUAUCUAUUUUCAGUAUUGAUUAUAAACAUUUCCAUGACAAUUAUCGUUGUAAUUGUUUUUCUUUACUAAUUAAUCACCUUCCAUCAUCAGAUAAUCUCAGGUUAUUGUAAAUCUAAGUUACAUGAGUAGUGACCAUUGAUGCAUUUACAAUCAAAUACAAUUUGAGAAUAGCAAUUAAACCAGGAACCAAGUGAUUAGAUAUUAGCUAAUCUUAAUUAUUACUUUUUGGGUGUGUAUCUGUUUCUGAUUGGAUUUACAUUGCUAAUUAUUGGAUAAUACCUUGAUUCAGUUGAUUGUUAACUAUCAUCACAUACUUGAUAAUAGCAAUCUAUUGUGUUAAAUGAUUUGAUUAUCAAUACAAACCCAAAGAAGAUACUAAUUCAAUUGUUAAAAUUUUUAUCUAAUCAAUAAAAUUUACCAUUUAUUGUAAAGGUGAAAAGUUAGUUAUUGAUAAUUUACUUUAGUUAUUUUUACAAUCUAUUUUGUCUUUUGAUUGCUAAUUGUUGGUAUCACCAAAUUAAAGUGAUAAUAAUUGGGUUAAUUUUCUGGUCUCUGGUUACUUUUAAGUUGCAGGGUAAAGAGUCAAUUGAUUAACCUUGAGGUGUGUUAUGAUUGUAACUAAUAAGAUUGUAUUGUUUUGAAUUGAAUCUAAUCAAUAUUUACCUUUCCAUGAAUUAUACCAAUACUAAAGGGUUAUUUUCCUUAGUUAUUAUUAGCUGAAAAGUGUUUUAAUUGAAUGUGUUUUAACUAUGGAUAAUAAUGUCAACUACUCGUCAAUUAUUGAUAAUUUAACCAAAGAUUUGGAUGAACUGAAGAAGAAGCAAAAAAUUACUGAAACCCAAAUCUCCAGUCUCAAAAUAACCAAUAGGAAACUGGAAAAGCAAAUCGAGAGUCUCGAGAAGAUAUUGGCUAUCACUCAUUUCAUUGAGGGUUCUCGUUUAAGUGACUUUGAAGUUUUAUCGUUUAUAACAGAUAAUAUUUUCAAAGGUCUUUCUAAACGUAAUCAUAACCGUUAUGUUAUCAAGAAAGUCCGAAUAACAUCAGAUAAAAGUUUCAAAGAGGCCAGUCGACUUGUCGAACUUGACAAUUUGUAUGUGGUUAGUUAUUACGGUGUAUGGAUUGAAAAAGAGCAGAGUGAAAAUUCAAUUGAAUCAAAUGAAGGUCUGGAUACAUCAUCUGAUACGAACUUCGGAACUCAGACUCUUUGCAUUCAAAUGGAAUGUUACAAAGAUGAAAAUCUUCAGGAUUUGAUCGUAAACGGGGAACUAUUUGAAUAUCAUCGUCGUCGACAAUUGUUUAUCCAAAUAGUUUUGGGUUUGAUUUACAUACAUGAGCAACAGAUCGUUCAUAUGAACCUCAAUUUUGAUAACAUCUUCUUAUAUGGAAAAGAUCGUAUAAAGAUUGGUGGACUUUCUCUUAGAAAAUCGAUACUUAUCCCUCCUAGAUCGACCUCAAGAAAAACUAAGUUCAGUGAUCUUCAGAAGAACGAUAUUUAUCAACUUGGACUGAUUUACUUUGUCAUGUGCUACAAGCCCGUUCAGACUCAUAAAAAGUUAUCAAAGUUUUAUAAAAAAUACAAUACUAAAAUCUUUUUUGAACUACCCGAUGAUGCUAAGAACUAUUUGAAACGAAAUGAGAUCAUUUUUGUCCAGCGAUUAAUAGAUCAAAAUGUGAUAAAGCGUCCGAAUGCCAAAAAAGUUGUUGAUCUCACUCGUAAUUAUCUUCCCGUUUAUUAGUAAAACACCAGUUCGAGGGCACUGGACAUCAGAUUGGAAAUUCAAACAACAAUCAGAGACAUUGUAUCUAAUUUCAAUAUUGAUUAUAAACAUUGUCAUGACAAUUAUCA